UUGGCUGCUGCGUUGGCCGCGGAGACAUCCUCUGCUGGAGUGUGGAGAUUGGUGUCGCUUCCUCCGUUGAGAGGAGUUUGCAUGUUGUUUGCGUCGUAAGUUGACAUGUGUGGUUGAGCGUGUUGUGGCUGAGAGUUAGAUUGAUCCGCACCCCCCUCCUUCUAGUGCCAAACUGUGGGAACCAAAAUUCGCACUGUCGAUUUCCAUUUAAAUUAGGAAAGUAGGAGAACCCUAGUUUCCCAGAGGUCUUGGAUAUCUGCUAAUACCACACGCCAAGCAAUCAGAACACGAAGCAAGAAUAGUAAUAAAAUAAGAAAUCGUAAAAGAGAGCAAGAUAGUUCUUAUUCCGAAUCUGCGUUUGAGCGUUUACAACAAGGGAAAAGCCUGGGCUACGAGAGAUGUCGGCGAGAUUCCUAGUUCUAAAACCCUAAGACGGCA
rnacentral:lncRNA from 1 species